rnacentral:lncRNA from 1 species
AUCAUAGGUAUUAUGGUUUUUGAUAGCCUACAUACUCCAGUAUAUAAGAUUGGGUUAAGUGAGGAUUAUUGAUGUCAUGAUAUAUGGAAGAGAGUAUGUCAAUUGAGAUGUAUAAACUCCAUGAUGUAUAUUAAUAGUUUUUGCUUAAUCAAAGUAUAAAGGAUCUUUUAGGAAAUAGAUAAUUGAUAAUUUUUGAAAAUGAGUGCGCACUCGUC